AUCCACAACGGUUAUUGCGGAAGCAGUCUAAACCCAGCUCGAAUGAAUCGAAAAGCACGUCCUUUCUUUGGAACCCAUUGCACAGCCUCCAACCAAAGUCCCCUGAUUUUCUUCAUUGUUGUUUGGAACUUAUGUGAGGCCGGACAACACAAGCACAUACCAACUAUAAUUGGGUUUGGGACAGGAAACAAGUUUUCGAAUGAGAAGGAUGUUUUUUACGACAACGAUGUUUGAGCAAACGCAGGAGAGGGAGUUUUUGUAGGAGGACAAUACUUACAUAAUUAAGACGAAAAGAGUUGAUAUUAGGGGUACAAUUUAAACCCAAGAAAGUUUGAAUUUAGGUCGGGUACCAUUUUAAUUAAGUGACAAAUCAUUUAUGGUCUCGGUUUCAUCCUAGGCUCAUUCUGAUGGAAUCGUUUUCAAUUGUUCAAUUUUCAACCAACGAACC
rnacentral:lncRNA from 1 species